UUACCGAAGCUGUGGAUACCUUUAUAGGUAUGGUAGGAGAGCGUUCUAUGUGUGAUGAAGGUAUACCGUGAGGAGUGCUGGAACGCAUAGAAGUGAGAAUGCCGGUAUGAGUAGCGAAAGACAGGUGAGAAUCCUGUCCACCGUAAGACUAAGGUUUCCAGGGGAAGGCUCGUCCGCCCUGGGUUAGUCGGGACCUAAGGAGAGACCGAAAGGUGUAUCCGAUGGACAACAGGUUGAUAUUCCUGUACUAGAGUAUGUAGUGAUGGAGGGACGCAGUAGGCUAACUAAAGCAGACGAU
rnacentral:rRNA from 1 species